rnacentral:rRNA from 1 species
UACGGGGGGGGUAAGCGUUGUUCGGAAUUACUGGGCGUAAAGGGCUCGUAGGCGGCCAACUAAGUCAUACGUGAAAUCCCUCAGCUUAACUGGGGAACUGCGUGUGAUACUGGAUGGCUUGGAUUUGGGAGAGGGAUGUGGAAUUCCAGGUGUAGCGGUGAAAUGCGUAGAUAUCUGGAGGAACAUCGGUGGCGAAGGCGGCAUCCUGGACCGGUAUUGACGCUGAGGCGCGAAAGCCAGGGGAGCAAACGGG